GUAAAUCCGCAUGUAUUUCCUGCGAUAUUAUUCCCCAGGUAAAUCCCCAUGUAAUUUACAGUUUUCUAGUAGUGUUCUCUAGUCCAUUGCAUGUACUUAUACUCUUAAUCUUUAUAUAAUUAUUAUGAUCUAUGUGGUGUGCUUUAAUGUUUUAAUCAAUUAAAAAGUGAGACUCUUUUAUGAGUGAAUAUAUUCCUAAUAGGUUGGAUGAUGACAAAUUACUUAGUGAAAUACUAAUUAGUUGAUAGAACCAUGUCUCGAACUUGAGAUAAAAGACACCCCUUUGUGGUUCCUUAUAAGUUUUCACGUGAAAAUCCUGUAGGUGGAUUUUAUAUCCGUCAUGUGAAAUAAGUUAAUCAUUAUAAAUAAAGGAUUAAAUUAAUCUAUGAUUUAAAUUUUUUAGAGAAUCUAAUUUAAUUGAUUGGUGUUGGUAAUUCUAACAUGGGGGGUUAAAUAAGAUGUUAUGGUAGAUUUCGAAAUUAAACCAAGGAGUGCAAUUAUAAAUUUUUAACAAAAUAAUUUAUAAUAUAUUAUGAUAUGAUGAUUCUUUCAUCACUGAAUUAAUAUUAUAAUUGGAAGCCUCACUUAAAUAAAUAUGUGGUCCCUACCCUACCGGAUAAAUAAUUAUUUUGCAAAAGAAAGGAAAAACUUUAUAGAAGAAGUGAUUUUAUUUUAAUAACUGGUCUUUUAUUAAUAAAAAGAGAGUGAAUUAAAAAAAAUAGGUUUUAUGACUGAAUUAAGGCCAAAAAUGUUUUUGGCAUUAAACCUACAAUAAAGGCAAAAACGUUUGUUGACAUAAAAGCAACAAUAAGGGCAAAAACAUUUCCCCCCUUUAUCUUCCCUUCUUCAAUAGAAAUUGGGAAUAAAUAAUGAUUGAUUUUUUACUCAAGUUAAUCCUUCUUUCUUAAAAAUAAUCACUUGCCACUUAAAGUGUUGAUUGAAAAAGGUUAAUUUGGUUUUGGUAGAAGAUCACAGUCUUGGAAAACAAAGCAUUGAGCGAACUAUGUGAAAGAUUCAAGAGGUAAGUUAUCUGACUUUCCUUUUGAUUAUGUUAUCUAAAUGUUAUGUAAGUUAUAUUGAUCUUGUUGGAUUGUUGCUUCUGUUGUGAAUGUUCUAACAAUUGGUAUCAGUAGUCUUCUUAUAUAUUCUAGAUAAUGUAAAAAGAAAUUACAUGAUUGUUUUACAUGUUUUUUUAAUAAUCAUUGUAAAUAUCAUAUUGUUGAUGAAUGAUUUUCUUGUUAUGGAUGAUGCUAAGGCUUUCUGUAAUCUAAGUUUAUCAUCAAGAAAACAGAAAAUAAAAUGUUCAUGUUUUACUUAGUUUAGUGAACUUUUCUAUCGAUUAAGUUUUAGUGAAUGUUUCAACUUGAGUCAAAUUCUAACGAUCAUAACUCCUAGAAUAUAAUUAUUUAUGUGGCCUCCUAUAUACCAAAUGAAAGAUCUUUGAGUCUUCUUUCUAACGCAACUAGUUUUACCUUAAUCCGAUAUAAGAGUAGAAAGUUAUGCUCAUUUUGCUUCAGAGUGUUUGUCUGUCAACAAGGUGAUGACUUGAGGUGAUAAGCCAUCAACUAAGUGACGAGCUAUCAACCUCAUCGUUAGCCUUAACCAAAAACACCCUGCAUCACUGAAGGAAAGGUGACGACUAGGUUGACAAGCCGUCAGUUAGUUGACAGGCUAUCAACCAAGUCGUCAACCUUAACCAGAUCAUGAAGAGAAGGUGAUGACUAGAUUCACAAGCCAUCAACUAGUUGACAGGCUAUCACCUAAGUCAUCAACCUUAACCAGAAAGUGUCCAAGUUCAUCUAGAGGGUGACGACUAGGCUGAUAAGUCAUCAACUAGUUGACAAGCUAUCAACUAAGUCAUCAACUAAAAAUUUCUGUAAAUUUUACUCAAUUUUUUAGGGGUAUUUUGGUCUUUUCCUCACCCCAAACUCUACUCCCACAAUUUAAAAACAUUUUUUAAAUGACAACUACUGAGGAUAUAUUAGUUUCUCAUAGUUCAUUCUCCUCUCCACUCUGAAGAGAGAAAAGUUAGGGUUUCUUUCAAAAACCCAUGCUUCCAAGACUUAUAUUCAAGAUAUCACAAAUUUUGUUCAUCAAAAGGUAUGUGGGACUAUCCUAAAUCUCAUGGGCAUAAAUUUUUAUGUUUUUAAUUAGUUUUAAAGAUAUAUAUGUACAUGAAAAGGGUUUUGAAAAUUAUUUGAAGAGCGUGCAUCAUAAAUCCAUUUUGAUGAAAGUAUGUAAUUAUCAUGGAGGUUUUCCAUAAGCUUGAUUUAUAAUUUGUGCAUACAUGAUUUGAGUUCGAAAAGUGAAUUAUGAAGGUGACGUGAAAUUUCCUUCUCCGUAAUGAAAUUUAUGGUCUUAGCAUGCUAUGAAUUGUGAAUUGGGUUUGAGAGCAUGAAUUAUAAGCCCCUUUUUGAUCAUUUUAUUUACGUUUAACUAAUGUUGGGGUUGUUUUAUGAAUGAGGAUGGUCCUUGAGUUUAAAUAUUUCUUCACUUUUAUGGGGUGGUUGUUUCACGUGUUUUUUUCGAAGAGGUGAUUUCUAUUCAGAAUGUUAUGGUUUCCUAAUGAAGAAACCGCAUGUAAUUAAUGAAAGAAUUGGCCUCCAUUCGUUAAAGUCUUGAAAAGAGAGUGUAUUUGUAUAAGUUUCAUAUGCUUUUGAAAAUAAAAACUCUCGUGUGAAUUGAUAAAUCUUUUGGUGGUCAUUUGAAUAAUUUUGAAUGAGAAGGGAUAUGGUUUUGAUAUGAUAUGGCUUGCAAGUUUAGGUAUGAUGAUGCCUAUUAUGAAGUUCCCUUAAUAUGAAAGAAAUGAAUAUUUUGAGAAUGAAGCAUGGUUUUAAGAGAUUAAAAUUAGGCUUAAAGAGAGUUAUAUGGUUACCCUAAGAAAGCACGAGUUGAAAGACUCAUCGCUGAAAAUCGUGAUUUGUCUAUGCGGGAUAUGGUACCCUGCUUUGUGAUCUUGUGUACUUUUGAUUCAUGUCGUCCCAAUUUGGUACUAUGGUUAGGAGCCCUACUUUGUGAUCUUAUGCACUACCAUGACAUGUUGACUUGACUGGGGAUUAUGGCACCCUGCUUUGUGAUCUUGUGUGUCCCUCCUUAUGAUACUCCAAUCCUUGCGGCAACCUUGGAUUGGAGGCUUGACUGCCGAGUUAAUGGCGGAUCCCAUAUAGCCCAUGGGAUAAUAGACUUGUAGGGUGUACCAUCUAGCUCAGGACUAAAGUGAAGAGUUGAGUUCAUAAUUUACAAGAAAUGUUGUACAAACACGAAUUGAAGCUUCUUAAAUUAUGCUCAUGUGUUUUCAUUCAUCUUAUGCUAAAUUGCUUUAUGAAAUUCCCUCACCUAUGUUGUAUAAAAAUAUAUGUUAUUUUUGGAUUGUUCUAGUUACCAAUACUUUCGAGUAUUGACCCCCUAUAUUUUAGGUUUUGAGGUAGAUUUUUGUGGUCCAGCUCAUCAAUAGAUUACUUCCUGAACUCCAGAGUUGGUGAGCCUCCGAUCCGUUGCUUCGAAAGGUGUGAUAUUCUUAUGUUAGUUCAGUUGUCUUAUGAUCCGGCCAGGGGCCUUGUCCCAGUCUAGAGUGGCUAGUAAUUUAGUAGAGGCUUCAUAGACAAACUUUGGGUAUUGUAUUGUCAUAUUUUGUUGACAUUGUUUGUAUUAUAAGUUCCCUUGA
rnacentral:lncRNA from 1 species